rnacentral:tRNA from 1 species
UGAAAUAUGGUGUAAAGGUAGCACAAUAGAUUUUGGUUCUAUUAGUCAGGGUUCGAAUCCCUGUGUUUCAA